rnacentral:rRNA from 1 species
GGCAGACGGGUGAGUAACAUGUGGGUAUCUGCCCUUUGGUUUGGAAUAACACGAGGAAACUUGUGCUAAUACCGAAUAAGUCUUUACGGAGAAAGCUUUAUGCGCCAAUGGGUGAGCCCGCACUUGAUUAGUUUGUUGGUGGGGUAAUGGCCUACCAAGACUUUGAUCAAUAGCUGAUUUGAGAGGAUAAUCAGCCACAUUGGGACUGAGACACGGCCCAAACUCCUACGGGAGGCAGCAGUGGGGAAUCUUGCACAAUGGAGGAAACUCUGAUGCAGCGAUGCCGCGUGAGUGAAGAAGGCCCUUGGGUUGUAAAGCUCUUUCGUCGGGGAAGAAAAUGACUGUACCCGAAUAAGAAGGUCCGGCUAACUUCGUGCCAGCAGCCGCGGUAAUACGAAGGGACCUAGCGUAGUUCGGAAUUACUGGGCUUAAAGAGUUCGUAGGUGGUUGAAAAAGUUGGUGGUGAAAUCCCAGAGCUUAACUCUGGAACUGCCAUCAAAACUUUUCAGCUAGAGUUUGAUAGAGGAAAGCAGAAUUUCUAGUGUAGAGGUGAAAUUCGUAGAUAUUAGAAAGAAUACCAAUUGCGAAGGCAGCUUUCUGGAUCAUUACUGACACUGAGGAACGAAAGCACGGGUAGCGAAGAGGAUUAGAUACCCUCGUAGUCCAUGCCGUAAACGAUGUGUGUUAGACGUUGGAAAUUUAUUUUCAGUGU